UUUCUCGUACUUCACUGGUUGAGUACUGGUGUGAAAAACUAAAGGCCCGGGUUCGAUUCCCGACGAGGAAG
rnacentral:tRNA from 1 species